GAUGAACGCUGGCGGCGUGCCUAAUACAUGCAAGUCGAACGCUGGAGAUCUAGCUUGCUAGAUCGAAGGAGUGGCGAACGGGUGAGUAAUACAUAAGCAACCUACCCACGAAGACUGGGAUAAUCUCUGGAAACGGGGACUAAUACCGGAUAGGUAAUCGGAAGGCAUCUUUUGGUUAUUAAAGGUUAAAAACACUGGUGGAUGGGCUUAUGGCGCAUUAGUUAGUUGGUGAGGUAACGGCCCACCAAGACGAUGAUGCGUAGCCGGCCUGAGAGGGUGAACGGCCACAUUGAGACUGGGACACGGCCCAGACUCCUACGAGAGGCAGCAGUAGGGAAGUUUCGGCAAGGGGGGCAACCCUGACCGAGCAACGCCGCGUAAGUGAAGACGGCCUUCGGGUUGUAAAGCUCUGUUGUAAGGGAAGAACGGUAGAUAGAGAAUAUCUAAGUGACGGUACCUUACCAGAAAGCCACGGCUAACUACGUG
rnacentral:rRNA from 1 species